rnacentral:lncRNA from 8 species
GGCACUGGCUCCUACACAGCGCCCUACUUUUCACCAGAGACUUAUGGCACCUUUAGGGUUCUGGUCAAAAGUAGUGCACUACAUAGGGAAUAUGGUGCCAUUUGGAAAUGGCUUUAUCACUAUUUUUAUGUUUUGAGUUUUUUUUUUGUGGCCAUUUUGGGGUGGGGGGGGGGGGGGGCUGAAUGCUAACUUUUAAAAGGAUUGUACUGCAUCUCCACCAACUUAAUCAUGCAGUAUUGUUGUUUUUAAGUGAGAAAUGCAUUUAUUCAGUAUAUUUAUGUUUCCUAUCAAGUUCCUUUUUUAUUUUGUAAAGCUUUCCGACCACAUUUUAGUUUUUUCGGGGGGGGGUUUAUUUGUAACAAUACAUUUCCCACUGAUCUGUAAUGGUCAAAUUCAUCAAAAGAUAACGCUUCACAAAUUUUUGUCUCCAAUCAAGAAUUCUCCCCCAAAACAUUUUUAAGAAGAACAUUUUGACGUUCAUGUUACUACAUACAUGCUGUUUGCAGGUACUGUUAUAUCAUGAGAGAAAUUGAAUAAGUGCUCUUCACCUCAAGUUCUUCCUCAUUGCACUUGACAUUAAAAUCCUGGUUUUCAUGAAAACCAUUUUGUUUUCUAGAUUGUUAUUUCUGUUGAUAAAUUGGCUAUAUUACAACUAGCAUUGAAUUGUAUUGUUUAGGUGUAUAAUAAUGCCCGUUUUUAUUCUCGUUGCGUCACGUUUUUAUUUUGUACCUCCACAGCUAUUUUUUUUUUGUUGUUGCAUAAAGUAACUAGACGCUUGUACAUGUUUCAAUGAAAGUUGAUGAUCCCAUGUUUUUAGUCUAUGGUUAAAACUAGCUGUUGUGAUACUUGUGUAAAGAAUUUGAAAUAAAAGUGUUUUAAUGACUUGGUUAUACACUCUGAGCCAUUUAGUCUGACUUUGCCAGCUGACUGUCCAAAAAUGGCUUGAAAUUAUUUAAUCUUUUAGAGAAAUGCGGACUUAAAAUAAUUGACUUGACAACAAGUUGUGGCUAACUUAAAGGGAUACUUAAAUAUUUUGGCAAUGAAGCCUUUUUACCUACUUCUCCAGAGUCCAAUGAAUUUGUGGAUAUCAUUUUUUAUGUCUGUGCAGUUUGAAAUCAAAUUUUAUUUGUCACGUGCGCCGAAUACAACAGUGAAAUACUUACAGGUGCUAACCAACAGUGAAAUUUUUAAGUAAAAAAAAAAUAUAGAAGAAAGGAAGUUGCUAACAAACAUUAGCGCAUUGAAUGGAAGUCUAUGGGAACAGCUAGCAUGCUUCCUUCAUACUGGAUACAGUCUAAGACAUAAAAAUGGUGUCCCCGAGUUAAUCUGACUGGGGAAGUAAAUAAAGGGCUUCAUUGCCAAAAUCUCGAGGUAUCCCUUUUAAUAAUCCUGCUUUCUAGAAUACAACACGAGUUAACACUCGUGAGGUAAUUGUUGUAGCGUAGAAUGAUGGCGAAGUGGGCUCUGUUAAAAUCAGUCGUGUGAAUAUACUGCAUUCACUAAAUACAGCUAAAGCACAGUUCAUCUUUACCUAAAGUGCAUCAGACCUUCCUCAAGUAGGAGGUGAAGGCCCCGGGAGUGUGGUGCCACAAAAAUAACCUCUCACUCAACGUCAACAAAAUGUGAUCGUGGACUUCAGAAAACAGCUAUGCCACAUCGACGGGUCCGCAGUGGAGAAGGUGGAAAGCUUCAAGUUCCUCGGCGUACACAUCACUGACAAAUGGUCCUCUCCCGAGUGGCGCAGCGGUCUUAGGCACUGCAUCUCAUUGAAAGAGGCGUCACUACAGACCCUGGUUCGAUUCCAGGCUGUAUCACAACCGGCCAUGAUUGGGAGUCUCAUAGGGCAGCGCACAAUUGGCCCGGGGUAGGCCGUCAUUGUAAAUAAGAAUUUGUCCUUUACUGACUUGCCAAGUUAAAUAAAAAUAAAAAACUGGUGAAGAAGGUGCAACAGCGUCUCUUCAACCUCAGGAGGCUGAGGAAAUUU